rnacentral:rRNA from 1 species
CUUUUUAUGAGAGUUUGAUCCUGGCUCAGGACGAACGCUGGCGGCGUGCCUAAUACAUGCAAGUCGAACGCUUUUUCUUUCACCGGAGCUUGCUCCACCGAAAGAAAAGGAGUGGCGAACGGGUGAGUAACACGUGGGUAACCUGCCCAUCAGAAGGGGAUAACACUUGGAAACAGGUGCUAAUACCGUAUAACAGUAGA